AAACUUAAAGGAAUUGACGGGGACCCGCACAAGCAGCGGAGCGUGUGGUUUAAUUCGAUGCUACACGAAGAACCUUACCAGGGUUUGACAUGCAAGUGGUAGGAAACUGAAAAGGGACCGACCUUCGGGAGCUUGCACAGGUGCUGCAUGGCUGUCGUCAGCUCGUGUCGUGAGAUGUUCGGUUAAGUCCGCUAACGAGCGCAACCCUCACUGUGUGUUAUAUGUGUCACACGGGACUGCCGGUUUUAAGCCGGAGGAAGGUGGGAUGACGUCAAGUCAGCAUGGCCUUUAUAUCCUGGGCUACACACACGCUACAAUGGUCGGUACAAUAGGUUGCCAAGCCGCGAGGCGGAGCCAAUCCAAAAAAGCCGGCCUCAGUUCAGAUUGUAGGCUGCAACUCGCCUGCAUGAAGAUGGAGUUGCUAGUAACCGCAGGUCAGCAAUACUGCGGUGAAUACGUUCCCGGGUCUU
rnacentral:rRNA from 1 species